rnacentral:tRNA from 1 species
GCGGGUGUGGCGGAAUUGGUAGACGCGGUAGACUUAGGAUCUACUGUUCGCGUGGGAGUUCGAGUCUCUUCAUCCGCACCA